rnacentral:rRNA from 1 species
CAGUAGCCGCGGUAAUACGAAGGGUGCAAGCGUUAAUCGGAAUUACUGGGCGUAAAGCGUGCGUAGGCGGUUUGUUAAGUCUGUUGUGAAAUCCCCGGGCUCAACAUGGGAAUGGCAAUGGAUACUGGCAAGCUAGAGUGUGUCAGAGGAUGGUGGAAUUCCCGGUGUAGCGGUGAAAUGCGUAGAGAUCGGGAGGAACAUCAGUGGCGAAGGCGGCCAUCUGGGACAACACUGACGCUGAGGCACGAAAGCGUGGGGAGCAAACAGGAUUAGAUACCCGCGUAGUCCCUGUCUCUUAUAC